UGGGGAAUUUUGGACAAUGGGCGAAAGCCUGAUCCAGCAAUGCCGCGUGUGUGAAGAAGGCCUUCGGGUUGUAAAGCACUUUUGUCCGGAAAGAAAUCCUUGGCUCUAAUACAGUCGGGGGAUGACGGUACCGGAAGAAUAAGCACCGGCUAACUACGUACCAGCAGCCGCGGUAAUACGUAGGGUGCAAGCGUUAAUCGGAAUUACUGGGCGUAAAGCGUGCGCAGGCGGUUUGCUAAGACCGAUGUGAAAUCCCCGGGCUCAACCUGGGAACUGCAUUGGUGACUGGCAGGCUAGAGUAUGGCAGAGGGGGGUAGAAUUCCACGUGUAGCAGUGAAAUGCGUAGAGAUGUGGAGGAAUACCGAUGGCGAAGGCAGCCCCCUGGGCCAAUACUGACGCUCAUGCACGAAAGCGUGGGGAGCAAACAGGAUUAGAUACCCUGGUAGUCCACGCCCUAAACGAUGUCAACUAGUUGUUGGGGAUUCAUUUCCUUAGUAACGUAGCUAACGCGUGAAGUUGACCGCCUGGGGAGUACGGUCGCAAGAUUAAAACUUAAAGGAAUUG
rnacentral:rRNA from 1 species